UACGUGAGGGUGCAAGCGUUGUCCGGAAUUAUUGGCGUAAAGAGCUCGUAGGCGGUCUGUCGCGUCGGCUGUGAAAACUCGGGGCUUACCCGAGCCUGCAGUGGAUACGGGCGGACUGGAGUUCGGCAGGGGAGACUGGAAUUCCUGGUGUAGCGGUGAAUGCGCAGAUAUCAGGAGGAACACCGGUGGCGAAGGCGGACUCUGGGCCUAACCUGACGCUGAGGCGCGAAAGCUAGGGGAGCGAACAGGAUU
rnacentral:rRNA from 1 species